rnacentral:rRNA from 1 species
UACGUAGGUGACAAGCGUUGUCCGGAUUUACUGGGCGUAAAGAGCGCGCAGGCGGUCGAUCAAGUCGAGUGUGAAAGCCCCCGGCUCAACUGGGGAGGGUCAUUCGGUACUGAUCAACUCGAAGGCAGGAGAGGGUAGUGGAAUUCCUGGUGUAGCGGUGGAAUGCGCAGAUAUCAGGAGGAACACCGGUGGCGAAGGCGGGUCUCUGGGCAGUAACUGACGCUGAGGAGCGAAAGCGUGGGAGCGAACAGG